CCCGCUCUAACGGGGUGCCGUGUCUUUUCGCACGGCUGAGAGGCCUUUGGCCAACCCGCGGAACCUGAUCCGGUUAAGACCGGCGGAGGGAUUAGACGGCUCUUCAUC
rnacentral:ncRNA from 2 species